UACGAAGGGGGCUAGCGUUGCUCGGAAUCACUGGGCUUAAAGGGCGCGUAGGCGGUCCGACAAGUCGGAGGUGAAAUCCUGGAGCUCAACUCCAGAACUGCCCUUCGAUACUGAAGAGCUCGAGUCCGGGAGAGGUGAGUGGAACUGCGAGUGUAGAGGUGAAAUUCGUAGAUAUUCGCAAGAACACCAGUGGCGAAGGCGGCUCACUGGCCCGGUACUGACGCUGAGGUGCGAAAGCGUGGGGAGCAAACAGG
rnacentral:rRNA from 1 species